rnacentral:hammerhead_ribozyme from 1 species
AUCCAACUGACAGACGAGUGCCAAAUAGGACGAAAUGACCAUCCUGGAU